AUUGUUAAAUUAACAUAUCAAAUAUAAUCACACGCAAACUAUAAAGUGCAACACAAAUAUAUCUAUCCAAAUUUAUUUAAAGCCGAAAUAUUAAAAUUUUCUCAUAAAAAAGUUAAGUGACCAAGGUUUCAUAAAGAGGCAGUAAAAUGCAUCUCUAGGCAUGUCGGCGAAUUAACAGCGCAGUCAACGUCAACCGAAUUUGUAGUUAUCCCUAGCGUCAUUUGUUCGCGAAAAAUGUGGAAUUUAGUUUUUUAAUUGUAAAUUAAGUUUUGCCAAAGUUAUGUAAAUUUGUUUUUGUAUUUUGUCCGCUACAUAGUAUAUUUGUCCUUAGACAUAUAUGAAUUAAUAUAAAAAGUGUUAAGUGAUAAGAUAUAAACUCCGAGGUUUAGAGAGUGAAAAAAUUGUAUAAGUUUUGAGGCCACUUUGAAAGGCAACCCAUUUAUUUUUUCUUCCCCCGUUAAAUAAUAACCGCUAAAAUUGUGGAAAAACAGGAGAAAACUCCAAAGCGGAAGAAGAAGGCUGCAGCCAGUAAAAUGUCUGCAGUUUAUUCGCCGCAACAACCGCAGCAGUCUGCUCCCCCAGGUGCUGUACUGCAACCGCCUCAGCCACCAACGCCGACGUCGAUGCAGCAACAACAACAGCAGCAGCAACCACCGGGUGUUGGUGCCGGCGUGGGUGGAGUGGGGAUGGGUGGUCCAACAGGAGUGCCAAUGGGCUCCGGGGGUCCAAUCCAACGCGGUCCUUCCAUGGUUGGCAGUGGUGGCGGACCCGUCGGUCCUCCAUCUUCAGUUGGAAGUGGUGCUAUGAUGGGCGGUGUUGCGCCUCCGCCAUCAACCCAACGCGGUGGUAUGCCACCAUCACCCAGUCCAGCACAAAUACAAAAAAUACUUGACGAUAAUUGUGGUCUUAUUCAAACAAUUCAAGACUUUCAAACGAUGGGCAAAGCCCAGGAGUGCAUGACAUAUCAUAUGGCACUACACAGAAAUCUCGUUUAUUUAGCACAACUAGCUGAUCCAACAAUGAACAUAGCUCAGAUAUUGCCGCAUCCACAUGUUCUUCAACAACAGGCAGCCCAACAACAAGGUCCACAUGGUAUGAUGGGGGCUCCACAGCCUCCACAACAAGGUGGACCCCCGACUGGGGCAAAUCAACCACAAAUAGCCGGUAUGCCACCAAUGUCCCAUACGGAUGGAAAUGUACAACCUCCUUCGGGGGCUCAAAUGUCGUAUGGAGGUCAACCUCCACAAUCGCAUCCAGGAAUGACGCCAAACUCUCAAUCUCAACAAGGUCCUCCUCAACAAGCUAUUCAUUCCCAACAAACUGGCCAACAACAACCCCAACAACAAGGCGGUGCUUAUCGUGUUGGUACUUCGCCUCAAUCAGCCAAUCAACAACCACCAACUGUGUCAAAUGCAGGAUCGAAUCAACAGCGCCCAAGUGUUCAGUCAGGACAGCAGUCGGUUCAAGGGCCACAACAACAGGCCCCCAAUUCCCAACAAGGUCCGCCUCCUCAACCACAAUAUCGUGGCAAUUAUCAACAACAACACAGUCAUUACCCUGGCUAUCCACCCCAAAGCCAACCAUCAUACCAACCUCAAACCGGUUAUCCAUAUGGUCCACCCACUCAAGGCUACGGACCACCUCCUCCAAAUACACAGGGAGGCUAUCACCAUGCGGGUAUGCCACCGACAUCAUCAGCAGGUGGCGGCCCACCAGGUCAGCAUGGGUAUGCUAAUGCCAGUGGUCAGCAAGGACCUCCGGGCGCUUAUGCCCCACCUCCGCCGAAUCAGCAAGUUGCACCGGGCCAGCAACCGCCUCCUUCACAAAUGUAUGGUCCGCCUACAACUGGACAAGGACCACCACCACCGCCAAAUCAAUAUGGACCACCGCAAGGUGGUAACAACGCUCCUCCACCGAUGGCAUACGGUGGUUACGGUGGCCCACCACCAAGUGGUUAUGGUCAAGCGUCCAAUGCAUUGCCCAGCGGUUAUGGUCCACCUCCUCAAAAUCCAACACAAUCGCCCUACCCUCCACAAUCACCAUACCAGCAAGGUGGAGCGCCUGGUGGCUAUCCGGGUCAGUCACCGCAACAGCAACAAACAUCACAGGGCACUAGCGGUGGCUAUAGUUCCUCGCCAAGUCCAGGUCAAACACCGCCACCGCCAUCAAACCAACAAACUCCAAACUCGGCUAACCCAAAUGGCCCAAAUGCUCCACCAGCAAGUGUGCAAUCCACUUCACCAUCUACUUCUUCUGGCAAUAUUGGUGUCAAUAGCGGUCCACCGAACCAGCAGACACAAUCACCUCAGCAGCAACAACAGCAGCAGCAACAGCAACAACAACAGCAAUACGGAAACCAACAGCCGCCAGUUUCCAGUGGACCACCACAGCCACAUGGAUCUACUCCACAACAACAGCCUGUAUAUUCGUCAGCAGGGGCGCCCGGUGGUGGUCCUUCACCUUACGGCGCGCCAUCACAACAGCAGCAGCAGCAACAACAGCCGCCUGGACCGAAUGGACCGCCUCAGGUGCCACCAAACACAACGGCACCACCAAAUGGUACGCCCCAGAUGCCCAAUCAGCAGUACCAACCGCCACCAGCAGGUCAACCGUACGGUGCGCCACCACCACAGCCCUACGGCCCGCCACCACCCAGUGGUGGCUAUCCAGGACAUGGCUACCAUCAACCGCAGGGCGGCUACGGUGGCAUGCCACAAGGGCAAUAUCCACCUUCACAAGGUUAUCAAGGUUAUAGACCCACUGGGGGUCAAAUGCCACCACCAGGCGCCCCUCAAGGUCCGCCAACAAAUGCAUAUUCAUACUACGGAAAUCAACCUCCACAAUAAGUGCUUGCACCACAAAAAAGGUUGAUUCAGACACGCGUCAACUGUUUAAUACUAUCUUCAAAAUUGAUAUAUAUAAUAUAUUAUAUAUAUACAUGUGUUAUAUAUAUCAUAUGUAUGUAUAUCCCUAGAUAAAUAAGACAAAAUAUUGGUAUUAAUUCCGAUCCGUAAUGAAGGGGAUAAAAUAAAAGAACAAAACAAAACAAUCGGCUAAACUUAACGGAAUCUUAGAAGUCUAUACAAUUUUUUCAAUAGUUAAAUUGGCUCUGGUGAACAAAUAUUAACAUUAUACGCGGCAAAAUUAUUUCCAACACACUAAACUCCAGAAUCUUGUACGUCAGGACUAAAAGUUUUCAACGAGAAUGGCGCUACUUCUGAGGUGUUUAUGCAUAAUAAAAUACAUUUGUAUAACGGUAUACCAUACAUUCAGUUAGCGUAAGCCGACGGAGAUGUAAUUCAGUUGUAUGAUUUAAAAGAAAAGUUAAAAAAAA